UACAGAGGGUGCGAGCGUUAAUCGGAAUUACUGGGCGUAAAGCGUGCGCAGGCGGUUUUCCAAGACAGAUGUGAAAUCCCCGGGCUCAACCUGGGAAUGGCAUUUGGGACUGCAAGGCUUGAGUGCGGCAGAGGAGACUGGAAUUCCUGGUGUAGCAGUGAAAUGCGUAGAUAUCAGGAGGAACACCGAUGGCGAAGGCAGGUCUCUGGGCUGACACUGACGCUCAUGCACGAAAGCGUGGGGAGCAAACAGG
rnacentral:rRNA from 1 species